rnacentral:lncRNA from 1 species
AUUUUGAUAUCUGCAUUUAGAAACAUCCAAUGUCUGUCACCACCAUUUCCACAGGACACUGGGAGGAGAGCUGACUCUUUAUCCGUUUUGGACAGUUGAACACCUCAAACGCACCACAAGAAGCAGUCUUGGCCAAACACACCACAUUGGCAAGCUGGUCAAGCCCCUUCUGAGACAGAAAGGGUGGAGCAUAAGGAUGGAGUCUGGCCCAAAGUCUCUGCUAGGAAGGGACCACAUGUGUUCUCUGUCAGAGACGGGUCUCUCUAUGUUGCCCAGGCUGGCGUGCAGUAGCUAUUCACAGGUGCAAUCACAGCUCAUCGCAGUCUCCAACUCCUGGACUCAAGUGAGCCUCCUGCCUCAGCUUACCUAGUAGUGGAGACAGCAGGAGAUCUGAGGCUCAAAGCACCCAACUAGAACCUGCAACAACCAAAUUGGAUUGCUCCCUCUGCUCUCAUGAAUCUCUUUAUAAGCUCACCUGAUUCAGUUUUUAGUCCAAACUAGCAUUUGUUCCUGUAAGUAAAAAGUCAUAUAUUUUAUGUUUCUAAAACAUUAAUUAGGUGUUAUUUUAAUUGUGGCUUUCCAUUUUCAACUGGUCUGGCAUUUUUUUUGCCCAUUGUAUGUGCCGUGGAAACAAACAGACCAUUCUCCAUUCAGAGAUGAUAUAUAUUUGCAUACAACACAGCUAUCCACGAGUGUAAUGUCUCUUGCACAAACACGCAAAAAUACAUGACGGCUCCUUGCUCUCUUAAAAUUUUUUCAGAUGGCCAGGCGCAGUGGCUCACACCUGUAAUCACAGCACUUUGGGAGGCCAAGGUAGGUGGAUCAUCUGAGGUCAGGAGUUUGAAACCAGCCUGGCCAGCAUGGCGAAAGCCCAUCUACUAAAAAUACAAAAAUUAGCCAGUUGCGGUGGUGGGUGCCUGUAAUCCCAGCUACUUGGGAGGCUGAGGCAGGAGAAUCACUUGAACCUGGGAGGCGGAGGUUGCAGUGAGCCAAGAUCACGCCAUUUGGGCCAUUGUACUCCAACCUGGGUGACAGAGCAAGACUCCAUCUUAAAAAAAAAAAAAAUCCUUUCAGAUU